AAAAAAUAACCGACGAAGACAAAGAAGCACAAGAAGAAGAAGAAAUAAAAAAAGAAGAAAUUUUUUUAAACUGAACACAUAUCUUAUCGUCGGAAUGAGCCGAAGACACACCAAACCGACAAGGUCUUUCAACAUGCCGACCAGAUCAAAGAAGCGGCGUUCUUUCAAACUUUUAAAGCCAGGGUUACUGACGAGCCACAUCUUGGAAACUUACUCCACGCUGCCAACUGUUACCGAGGAAUAUUUGAAGGGACACGUUCUCUUUAUUUACGUUACCAGCGGUGGUCGUCGUCUUGCAAAAAUGACUAGAGAACUGUUGACUAGAAUUCCUUCUACGCCACAGGAUGAUGCAGGGCAGGCUUUUCGAUUCCUUAACGCUGGAAUAAAACGAGUACUUUCUAAGACUCUUGAGCAAUAUAAAAAAAACAACAAAUCCAAAUGAACUACAUGCAGUUAGGCAAGUUUGUCAGGACCCUUUUCCGUUAAUAGAUGAUAAACGAGAUGAUUGGGCUACCAUGCCUGUGCCAGUGGAAAUAUCCGAACCGGAAAACGAGAUGGAGGUGCAGUCCACGCCGGCUCCAAAUACUCCGGUUGAAAGCAGGCAGACUGCGAAAUGUGCCAACUGUAAGCGCUGGCAGAAAAGUCUGCGGGAGUUGAAGCAGAAACACCUUGCUAUGCGGAAAGCAAAGAUGAUUGAAAUAAGAAACAUUCGUGCAAAGCAGUUGAGUGUUUUGGGGAAAGUCUUGAACCAAAAAGUUCCAAGAAAAAAACGAGCAGAUCAAUCAGUUGAAAGGAAAAUUGGAUUCUUCAGAAGUCGGGGAGUAUGUCGGUGGUCUGAAAUCUGAAAAAGCGACACUCUGCCCUGAAGCGUUGCCACAAAUUCAAGAAGGGGGAGAAUGCGGCUUUCGAAGGUGGAGUCGGCAGAGCGAAGAGAACAAUGCGAAGAGUACAUCGCUGGAAACUGCAAAGACACAAAAUCCACAAAGUCCAAUUCCAACAUGCGCAGUGCAGAUAUGCGAAUGAUGGUUGACGACGCAAUCACAAACCCGGUCCCAACAGCCAACAUCCCAAACCUGAUGGCCACGUUUGCAACUCGCUUUGGUGUGACUCUCGCCGACAUUCCAAACAGGACAACAGUCAAAGAAAUGAUACGGGAGUUGGAUGCGGUGGCCGAUCCGCAAACAGUGGAAGUCAUUCUCCAAGCAGUGUCUCCAGGCCAGGUGGUGCAGCUCCAGCACGCUGAGCAACAGCGACACGCCCGACACGGCCAACAUGAACACGAUGAAGACGUUCUUCUCCGUGGGCCGCGACACGUAACAGUUGACCGGGUGUGGACACGGCCACGCCUAACCUCACACACACACGCGCGCUCACACUUUCUGACAUUUUAUGGCUUUGAGAACACCUUGAAAAUAAUAAUAAAGUUGUUGUUUUAUUUGUUUUUUUUUACCUUGCAAACAUAAAGAGGAUGGAGAAAUAUUCCAUACAGGAAGUACUGCAGGCACAGGAACACCACCUGCAUGGAGCAUGACGUCAACUACAACAACACACCGACUACCUGAUGAUGUCGACGAUGCUGUAAAGGCGACUUUAGGGUUGGAAGCCCGCAGCAGGCUGUCGCCGGUUCGUCGAGGCGCCUUCGAGCAAGGCAGGAAGGAGCAAAGCGGGGGGAGUUACACCUGCGGAAAGCGGGGACGCCUGGCAGAUCCGCUCCGACGUUCCCGAUGACUUUUGUGCAAAAAGAAAGUCGGACGAGAGAGAGAACGUCGACAAGCGGUUUGAAUGUAGAGACAGUUGGAAGUGAUGAGAACACAAUUUUUGUGCGGGUGAGGCGACGCCGGUGGGAGACUUUUGUAGCGGACCCUCUCUCUCUCUCUCUCUCUCUCUCUUUCUCUCUCUCUCUCUCUCUCUCUCUCUCUCUCUCACUCCCUCUCACUGGUCUUUCCCUCCCUCACUCGCCCUGGGCCGUGUCUCCAAAGGAAGUUGUCCUGGUGCCACGCUGCCUGCUAUUCACUGCGCUCACGUAGGGGCAUGUGUGUAUGUGUGUGUGUCUGCAUAUGUGUGUGAGAUUGUGUGUGUGCAUGUGUCUCAGUGUGUGUGUGUGAGUGCACGUGUGAGAGUGUGUCUAUGUGUGUGAGACUGUGUUUUUGCAUGCUUUUGUGUGUGUGUUUAUGUAUAUGCGUGAGUGUGUGUAUCUCUGUCUGGAUGUGUGAGCGAGUUAGUUUGAAUGUAAGUGCGCGUGUACUGUAUGUAAGUGAGUGAGUGUCUAUAUGCAUGUGUGCGCGUGAGUGGUUCCGCAUUUGAGUGUGUGCCUGUGUGGGUCUGUCUCUGUACGUGUGUGUGUGUGUGUGGCAUGGAAAGGAAGUCUUAUAUUGUAUUAGGACACAAUGGCUCCAGGUCCAGGCCCAACAUUCCCCCCUUGUCACUCUUUUCUUAUCUGGACGCUGGUUCCCCAAAUGCUGAACUAUUGUGUGUGUGCGAUUGGGCGAGUAAGCAGGCGAGGAAGCCGCUGCCGUUUUUCUCAUGCGCGAAUGCUACCUGAAGGUCGUUUCGCUGGGUUAUCUGCAAACUAUUGUGCUAGCGUCGAGGGGAUGGUUUCACGAGCGCAACCCCGAACAAGGUUUUGAACACAAACGUUUGACGUCAGAGAUCAAAUCGAUGUCGCGACACGGAAGUGGGCUUGUACUUGGCGGUCUUCGUCGAGUGGCGUACGAGGAAAGCGAGAGAAGAGCCCCGAGUCGCUUCGUGACUGCAAACGGCACCGGCCGAAUCGCGAUCAUCUCACACAACAACCGAGAUUUCAACUUGAACAUUUCUUUGUUUCAUUCCCCCACACAACUUGUGAUAGCACUGAAAGCCUGCUGCUUUCCUGGAGGCCGUGUGUGCUAACAUGUGUGAGCACGCGUGUGUGUGUGUGUGUGUGUGUGUGUGUGUGUGUGUUGUCCCUGUCGAAUUGAUUGUACGCAGCGGUUACGGCAUGUGACUGAAAAAGCCCAAAAAGUAAGUUGGGGAAAAUGGCUGCGAGUGUUUUUUGUCCAAUGACAGAAGCUCGAUUGUGUUUUUUUGUUAGCGACCUGCGUGUUGAAAUGCUGCAGUUCAUAUAUAUAUUUUUUUAACUUAAGAUUCCACACACAACACCCAAUAAUAAUACAAAAAUGACGAGA